CUGGAAGUAUCGCUCCAUUGUGCCUCGUCCCAGCAUUUCCUGCUAUUUCUCGAUUCGAGAUGGGAUCCCAGAGGCCCGGCCUUCCCCCAUGGGAACCUCAAAAUCCUUGGAAUGCAGGCAGCCUGCGACCUGGCAGCUCGGCUACCCUGAGUCGGGCUACGCCCUGAUUGCACUCCCGCUUCUGACCCAGGUGCCCUUGCCUCACCUCUUGGAGGACGAGCACGUCUAGCAGAGGAGACAGCUGGCUGGGGAGACCCAGAAAGAAGCACAGGUCCAGCCAGCAUGGGGACAGCAGAGCCCUGGGGAUCAGACCACCAUGGAGUCCACAGCUGUUUACUGAACAACUCCACGCUCCACAUGGAUGCCAGGAAAACCUGCAUUGAAGAUAGCUCUUUAAAUUCCAAGCUCAGUUUCUCCUGGAUGAUGCCCAAGCCUCUCGAUUUGGUUUGGAUCUGCCUUCCCAGAGGCACGGCUCACCCAGCUUCCUUCCCACAUCUGAGCCACCCAGCUCUAUGGUCAGCUGAUCCACCGGCCCCUUCCCCACCACCGUCAGAUCCUGAAUGCGGGACCACAAUGGCAGACGGCUUUCAGAGCCCCAGACUCAGCACCUGGGCAGUGACUAUCAGAUAAACGCAACUGAGAUUAGAGUCUCAUUAGCACGGGGGCUCCCACUCAUGCACCCCAGCCUCACACCCCUUGCAGCCUGAUAAUUGCUGAGGAGCCCCAGUGUGUAUUUGGAGAGCACAAACCCUUCCUGGGAAGCCCCCUAAUAAACAGGCAGAACCAGCCGGUCCUUACCCUCUGUUCUGCCAACCUCUGUGGACCCUAAGGCGGCUGAAACAGGAAAGGGCAUCUCAGGCAGGCAGGAAGAUUGCUGUGGAGUCCGUGCCCCUACCCAGGCCGUUCCUAACUGACCUGGGAGUCCCAGGAGAGCCGAGCUGGAAUAUCUGUCUCUUGGUGCCUCCCUCACACCCAAAUCCUGUUAUCUGGUUAUUUUUCCAUGAACAACAAAGAGGGAGGGGAAUUUGGGGGCUGAAAUAAAGGACCUCGUUUCCAACAGCAGUCCCAAGAUCCUACUGUGUCCAAGUUCCCCGUGCUGUAUGGACCAAGGUGCUCCGCGUUCUCCCGGGACGAAGUCCAAGGCCCUUCUCCUUCCCUGCAGCACCUGUCCCCCAUCUCGGGGGAGACCCGGGCUGCCUAAUCUGCAGCGGUGCCAGCGCCCAGGCUGGGGGCACCCACACAAUUCCUAUUCAUUUGUGCGGAGGUGACGUGUGGUGAUUGGUCUCGGAGGCCAGGCCCUGAACUGUUUCUUCGAUCAGUGUUUCAUUUUCUAAGUCAAUGCAUCUAGGGUCAGCUCAUUGUGACACAGGCGGACCCACAAGUCACAGAAUAAAAAGCCAGGACUUCAGAGUCACCGGGCUAUGGGCUGCAGCCUCCUUUUCCAUUCGUGCUGGGCCACGGGCCCUGGCCACGCUGCCUGCUCUCUCUGAGCUUCAGUUUCCUGACCUUAACAAGGGCCCAAAAUGUAUUACCAUUGAUCGGCUGUGAUUAAAAUGGAUAAAACUCGGGAAAGAUGAGCUGUAAAUAUUUGUUCUUUUCCCUAAAAUUCUGUGACUCAAUAAGUUUCAGUGUCCCAGAGCACAGGUGGUAAUUCCAGAGCCUAGAAAUGUUAAUAACAGAAUUCAGUUAACAGAAGAGAAAAGUCAGCCCAAAGAAUAGGAGAAAAUCAUGUAAGGGAUUCAAAGCCAGGGCAUAUCGAUGCAUAGAUAUCACUGUUACAACUCAACGAUAAAAUAACAACACAAUUAAGAUGGGGCAAAGGAUAUGAAAUGACAUUUCUUCAAAGAAGACAUACAAGUACAAAUAACCGAGAAAUGCAUGAAAAUAUGCUCCAUAUUACUGUUCAUUAGGCAAAUAUACACCACAACUGCAAGUUACCAUUUUACUACUAAGACGAUUAUAAUAAAAAAGAGCAAAGACCCUGAGACCCUGUUAGGCUGUUAGGAGCGUAAAGUCAGGUAACUGCUGUGGAAACAGUGUCCCUCUGCACAACCCCACCCCAAAGGGUACACGCGGAGGGGCCGGGAUUUAGCUCAGCGGCCUAGGGCCUGCCUGGCAAGCGUGAGGUCGUGAGUUCAGUCCCUGGUACCAAAAAAAAAAAAAGCUUACACAUGUGUGUUGGUCCAGAACUGUCUUCACUAAUUAGCAUCAUGGCCGGAACGCAGCUGGGCCGGGUGCCCCGCAAUGGGUGGGCCGAAGAAAACGCAGGGUCAGGGUAAAAUAGAAGAGUAUUUCACCCAGAAAGGAAAGAAGUCCUGGGACGACACGGAUGAUGCUGGAAAUGAAAUCAGCCAGAUACUGGACCCAUGACAUGUCCGCAUCCGGCCAGAGCUAGAGAAAAAACGGGUCAUGGUUUCCAGGGGCUGCAGGGUGGCAGGGGUCCAGGGUUUCUCCCUGAGGCGCCAAACUUGUUCUGUGAUUUUGGUGUCAUACGCAACUAUGAAUAAAGUAAGAAUGACUGAAA